rnacentral:rRNA from 1 species
UACGAAUAAGGAUCGGCUAACUCCGUGCCAGCAGCCGCGGUAAUACGGAGGAUCCGAGCGUUAUCCGGAUUUAUUGGGUUUAAAGGGAGCGUAGGCGGGUUGUUAAGUCAGUUGUGAAAGUUUGCGGCUCAACCGUAAAAUUGCAGUUGAUACUGGCGACCUUGAGUGCAACAGAGGUAGGCGGAAUUCGUGGUGUAGCGGUGAAAUGCUUAGAUAUCACGAAGAACUCCGAUUGCGAAGGCAGCUUACUGGAUUGUAACUGACGCUGAUGCUCGAAAGUGUGGGUAUCAAACAGGAUUAGAUACCCUGGUAGUCCACACAGUAAACGAUGAAUACUCGCUGUUUGCGAUAUACAGUAAGCGGCCAAGCGAAAGCAUUAAGUAUUCCACCUGGGGAGUACGCCGGCAACGGUGAAACUCAAAGGAAUUGACGGGGGCCCGCACAAGCGGAGGAACAUGUGGUUUAAUUCGAUGAUACGCGAGGAACCUUACCCGGGCUUGAAUUGCACUCGAAUAUAGCGGAAACGUUAUAGCUAGCAAUAGCGAGUGUGAAGGUGCUGCAUGGUUGUCGUCAGCUCGUGCCGUGAGGUGUCGGCUUAAGUGCCAUAACGAGCGCAACCCUUAUCGAUAGUUACUAGCAGGUCAUGCUGAGGACUCUAUUGAGACUGCCGUCGUAAGAUGUGAGGAAGGUGGGGAUGACGUCAAAUCAGCACGGCCCUUACGUCCGGGGCUACACACGUGUUACAAUGGGGGGUACAGAAGGCAGCUACACGGCGACGUGGUGCUAAUCCCAAAAGCCUCUCUCAGUUCGGAUUGGAGUCUGCAACCCGACUCCAUGAAGCUGGAUUCGCUAGUAAUCGCGCAUCAGCCACGGCGCGGUGAAUACGUUCCCGGGCCUUGUACACACCGCCCGUCAAGCCAUGAAAGCCGGGGGUACCUGAAGUACGUAACCGCAAGGAGCGUCCUAGGGUAAAACUGGUAAUUGGGGCUAAGUCGUAACAAGGUAGCCGUACCGGAAGGUGCGGCUG